rnacentral:rRNA from 1 species
CCUACGGGAGGCAGCAGUAGGGAAUGUUGCGCAAUGGGCGAAAGCCUGAUGCAGCAACACCGCGUGAGUGCUAAGGUCUUUGGGGUGUUAAGUUCUGUUAAUCGGGGCGAAAAUUGACAGUACCUAUACAGGAAGCACCGGCUAACUCCGUGCCAGCAGCCGCGGUAAUACGUAGGGGGCAAGCGUUAUCCGGAAUUAUUGGGCGUAAAGGGUUCGUAGGCGGCUAAGUAAGUCUGACGUUAAAGCCCGGGGCUAAACCCCGGGACUGCAUUGGAUACUUUCUAGCUAGAAUGUAGUAGAGGUAGAGGGAAUUCCUGGUGUAGCGGUGAAAUGCGUAGAUAUCAGGAGGAACAUCGGUGGCGAAGGCGCCUUACUGGACUAAUACUGACGUUGAGGAACGAAAGCCUGGGGAGCAAACAGGAUUAGAUACCCUGGUAGUC